UCAGGAUGAACGCUAGCGUACAGGCUUAACACAUGCAAGUCGAGGGGCAGCAUAACGAAAGCUUGCUUUGUUGAUGGCGACCGGCGCACGGGUGAGUAACGCGUAUCCAACCUUCCCUAUAGUAGAGAAUAGCCCGGCGAAAGUCGGAUUAAUGCUCUAUGUUCUUCUUUGAUGGCAUCUGAGGAGAAGCAAAGGUUCACCGCUAUAGGAUGGGGGAUGCGUCUGAUUAGGUAGUCGGCGGGGUAACGGCCCACCGAGCCAACGAUCAGUAGGGGUUCUGAGAGGAAGGUCCCCCACAUUGGUACUGAGACACGGACCAAACUCCUACGGGAGGCAGCAGUGAGGAAUAUUGGUCAAUGGGCGAGAGCCUGAACCAGCCAAGUAGCGUGCCAGGACGACUGCCCUAUGGGUUGUAAACUGCUUUUUAUGCGGGAAUAAAGUCCACUACGCGUAGUGGUUUGUAUGUACCGCAUGAAUAAGGACCGGCUAAUUCCGUGCCAGCCGCGGC
rnacentral:rRNA from 1 species